UCCGCUGAGCUUCGGAGUGCACGGAGCUCCCUGAAGUAGGGACUCCAGCCCCUCCUGCACCCUCAGCUCCAAAUCAAGGAACCUCCCUGAAAGAAGCAGCUGCCUUUUCCCCCUUCAACCCCACCCGUCUCGGGACAGCCAGUUCUCUUCCACCCCGAGGGCGCAUCGUUGCCUUCCCUUCCCUUCCCUUCCCUUCCCUUCCCUUCCCUUCCCUUCCCUUCCCCUCCGGUUGCUCUCACCGGCGGUACAGCGAGGAGGGCCAGGACAUCCUGGGGUUCCGGAGGGCCGGCCGGAGCGAGGCAUCGCAGGUUCCCGAGCGCAGCGAGUUCUCUCCAAGGACCUGGGACAGAUGUGGAUGUCCGAUGGUGUUACAGCCCAUCUUGCAGUUCAAAGCAACUCGGAUGCCUUGUUUUGCCCAGUUAAAGGUUGUGAAAAUAUCCAAGAUACAUUCCUCCUCCUAUUUUCUCCACAACAACAACCGUGUGAGGUGAGUUGGGCUGAG